rnacentral:rRNA from 1 species
UGGGGAAUAUUGCACAAUGGGCGAAAGCCUGAUGCAGCGACGCCGCGUGAGGGAUGACGGCCUUCGGGUUGUAAACCUCUUUCGACAGGGACGAAGCGUAAGUGACGGUACCUGUAGAAGAAGCACCGGCCAACUACGUGCCAGCAGCCGCGGUAAUACGUAGGGUGCGAGCGUUGUCCGGAAUUACUGGGCGUAAAGAGCUUGUAGGCGGUUUGUCGCGUCGUCUGUGAAAACUCACAGCUCAACUGUGAGCUUGUAGGCGAUACGGGCAGACUUGAGUACUGCAGGGGAGACUGGAAUUCCUGGUGUAGCGGUGAAAUGCGCAGAUAUCAGGAGGAACACCGGUGGCGAAGGCGGGUCUCUGGGCAGUAACUGACGCUGAGAAGCGAAAGCGUGGGUAGCGAACAGGAUUAGAUACCCUGGUAGUCCACGCCGUAACGGUGGGUACUAGGUGUGGGUUUCCUUCCACGGGAUCCGUGCCGUAGCUAACGCAUUAAGUACCCCGCCUGGGGAGUACGGCCGCAAGGCU